UCUUAUCCAUUUAUUAUUAUCAUUCUAAUGAUGAUUACUAUUAUAAUAAUAACAAUAGUUAUACUUAUUUUAAUAAUAGUGAUAAUAAGAGUAAUAAAUGGUUGUAAAAUAGCUAGAAAUAGACUAUUAAAUUAUAACGAUUUAGGAAGCACGAAGAAAUUAAUUAAAAAAAAGUAGGACAAAAUUGAGUGUCAACAACUAUCUCUCUUUGACCAAAAAUGAAGAAAGUAUUUUCGGAAAACACUUAGUGUCAUAUAAAAAAAAAUAGAAAAAAUAAAAUAAAUUUCUAAAUCUCAUAAAAAUAAAAUAAAACUCAAACAUAUUACGACCAACUGUCAGAACAUACACUAUACUUUGUGGUUCAUACAUAAGUAUGAAACCCUAAAAUUAGAACAUUUGGACAAACAACUCCAAGAUCAUCUUGCUGAGAUCUGGUUGAAGUCAUCAUUUUGUUUCGACGUGGAAGUACCAUUUGCACUUUGGUCAUGAAGUUUUGGGUCUCUCGGGUUGUAUUUGCACUAAUUUUAGCUCGGUAAUGAACAUUUUGCUAUAAUUUUGGAUGAAAAAAACGUGUGAUUCCUUGAUUUUAUUAUGAAUUUGCAAGGGUUUGAUUCCUUUAUUUUUGAAUGCGAAAGAGAUGUGAUUCCUCUAUUUUAUUAUAAAUUUAUAAGUGUGUGAUUCCCUUAUUUUUUAAUGCAAAA